rnacentral:rRNA from 1 species
AACGAACACUGGCGGCAUGCCUAACACAUGCAAGUCGAACGAGACCCCUGACUUCGGUUGGCGGGUCUAGUGGCGCACGGGUGCGUAACGCGUGGGAAUCUGCCCUUGGGUUCGGAAUAACUCAGAGAAAUUUGAGCUAAUACCGGAUGAUGACGAAAGUCCAAAGAUUUAUCGCCCAGGGAUGAGCCCGCGUAAGAUUAGCUUGUUGGUGGGGUAAUGGCCUACCAAGGCGACGAUCUUUAGCUGGUCUGAGAGGAUGAUCAGCCACACUGGGACUGAGACACGGCCCAGACUCCUACGGGAGGCAGCAGUGGGGAAUAUUGGACAAUGGGCGCAAGCCUGAUCCAGCAAUGCCGCGUGAGUGAUGAAGGCCUUAGGGUUGUAAAGCUCUUUUACCAGGGAUGAUAAUGACAGUACCUGGAGAAUAAGCUCCGGCUAACUCCGUGCCAGCAGCCGCGGUAAU